GCCAUCUUAGCCUAGUGGUAGAGUGCGUGACUUUUAACCAUGUGGUUGUGGGUUCGAUCCCCACAUAUGGUG